UACAGAGGGGGCAAGCGUUGUUCGGAAUUACUGGGCGUAAAGGGCGCGUAGGCGGCCUUCUAAGUCGAACGUGAAAUCCCCGGGCUCAACCCGGGAACUGCGUCCGAUACUGGAAGGCUUGAAUCCGGGAGGGGGAUGCGGAAUUCCAGGUGUAGCGGUGAAAUGCGUAGAUAUCUGGAGGAACACCGGUGGCGAAGGCGGCAUCCUGGACCGAUACUGACGCUGAGGAGCGAAAGCCAGGGGAGCAAACGGG
rnacentral:rRNA from 1 species